UACGAAGGGGGCUAGCGUUGUUCGGAAUUACUGGGCGUAAAGGGCGCGUAGGCGGCGUGACAAGUCACUUGUGAAAUCUCCGGGCUUAACUCGGAACGGCCAAGUGAAACUGUCAUGCUAGAGUGCAGAAGGGGCAAUCGGAAUUCUUGGUGUAGCGGUGAAAUGCGUAGAUAUCAAGAGGAACACCUGAGGUGAAGACGGGUUGCUGGGCUGACACUGACGCUGAUGCGCGAAAGCCAGGGGAGCAAACGGG
rnacentral:rRNA from 1 species